GCAGAUUAUAUUAUGAAAUCAUUAUGCGUCAUUUACACACAGUGUACCGGAAGUCAGUACUUAUACAUCAACUUUGUAGUUUUACAGCAACCUCAGUAGGGAGAACAAAGCAAAAUGGAGUAAGUAAGGAAUGAACUGCCAAGCUCAACGUAUAAGCCAAAGUGGAUGACAGGUGCUCAGAAUAAUGUAAAGUUGCCAACUGAGCAAACUUCACCUGCUGAUGAAGACCAUGUGAUGUGGUCAGAAGUUUUGGAACAAGUGAGACUCCAUGCUCCUCCUCCAUCUGUGCUGCGGCUGCUGUCUUCGUCUUUGCAGGCAGGGGACGGCCACUGUAUCUUAGUGUUUCCUGGAAUAACACCACCUAAAGUGUGUUAAAAGAGAAACAGUAGAACAGGAAGUAAUAUUUCAGCAAGUAAUUUUCAUUCGUACUGAUUCUUUCUUGAAACAAUAUUCACUUUCCUUCAAGAGGAUAACCUCACCUUUUUCCGGUUUAAAGAAAUGUUUUACUGGUACAUUAACUGAAAAGCAAAACCCACAAUUUGUGGCAAUACUAUGAUGUUAGCAUCUUGAGACAGAAUAUGAGGCUGAGUGAUUUAAGAUGGACAUUCUUUGUAGUGAGAGAAACACACUUGGAUGCGGAAUAUAAAGGUGGUCAUUCUGAGCAGCUCACUGACACUGAGUAACUGACAUAAUCAAAGAGACUCGGUCAACAAGACCCACACAGGCAAGCUACCCUAACACAGUCACAGCGAUCCAGUAAUAAUAGCAUGUACAGCACAGCUCCAAGCACUAACCCAUCAAAAAAAUACAUGGAUGUAAUAGUCACCAAUUAGUUUGUGACACAAGAUGUUACACACAGAAACACAGCAUACAAACACAUCAGUCUACAGCCUCAAAUAGAGAUGAUGUUGUUCAUACAGAUGCAGAUUAAAACAUAUACACAUAUGCAGUGUGUGUGCAUUUCUUUCCAGAAUCACAAAACCAAAUCACACAGAAAAUUAUUGGUGCCAGGAGGUAAACAUGUGAUACAUUAAACUGUUUACAUCCUCAGAUCUACUGAGAAAUAGAGCCUCUCUCACUGAACCAGAUCUGACUGAAUCAAACUACAGCUCUUUUUGUUUGACAGCCAGAAAAAGGAAAGCUACUCACUCUAAGUCUCCACCUUUUACAUGUAUUUCCUAUCAAACACUGGCUCAUUUAAUUACAAACACGUGCCAUUUGAAUGCUUCUUUACGUCAUUUUGACCAUCUGCUGUUUGACAUUUGUUGUAUGCAUCCCAAAAUGGUGGAAUUUGAAAGAUACUAAAUGAAAUAUUCAGGAAGAUGACUGUUGGCAGGCUGCAUGGACUCUUGAUGUAACUCACCCAUACAACUCAUCAGACACAUGUGGUACAUAUGGUUUUUAAAGGGGACCUGAUAUGUCCAUUAUCAGGUUUGUACUUGUGUUUGGGGUUUUUACUACUUACGCUUUACUCUUCAUACAGUCUGUGCCGAUUCAGUGCCUGUCUCUUUAAGCCCCUCCCCCCUUAAAAAAGGACCGUCUUGAUCCAGUUACAAACAAACUCUGGUGCAGUUCAUUUGUGGUGAGAACGUGUUCCGACCUGGAUCUCAACCAACUGCAGUCACAUGACACAUUGUUUGGGUUAAACAUGAGCAUGUUACAGUCCUGGAGGAUUAUUAAUGUGCACCUCCUCCUGUACUGCCUUAAUAUGCACAUUCAGCACAUCCAAUGCAUCAAAACAUUGUUUUCUAGUUGGAGCCGCGCCUCGUUUUCAAACUGUAUGGUUUGACUAAAAUGAACAAUGACAGCAAUAUAGUCCACGAUGAGCAGCGCUAAAAUCAACCUGCGUAGUUGUCCCUCCAUUGUGACAUUAGAAAGUGUCACAUUUAUCUUGCAAGUGUACUCUUCUUCAACAUUUUGUUUACUUCCUGGAUUUUUCCCACAUGGAAAUUCUGACCAAUCAAGAGCAGCUUUCUCACGCAAGGCAUUUGAUCUGGUCCACUUGUAAAUGCUGCCGUGAGAACAUGAACCAACUCUAGACAAUUAUACAGCUUUGUAACAAAUUAGUCCCUGAUUCAGACCAAAGCAAGACAACUCUAGGUCUGAAAGCACCCUUAGUCACAGUUGAUUAAGCGCAUUAUUAGACAUGAUCACUUCUGAGCUUUUUUCAACUACACUAGUCCGUCAGUUUCACCAGUAAUUUGGUCCUGGUCUGAUAAGUCACACUGUGAACAGCUCCCUGUUGCUAUCAUGCAGAAUAAUUACAGGUUAAGGGAUGAUCCAAAGCAUAUGUUGCUCUAAUGGGCAUCGUGUGUGUUUCUGAGGGUAAAAUACAGAAUAUAUCUCUCAACUGUCAGGUAUGCACAUGUUGUG